rnacentral:rRNA from 1 species
GGCGGGCUAAACAUGCAAGUCGAACGCACGAAGUUGAACAGCUUGCUCUUUAACCAAGUGAGUGGCGGACGGGUGAGUAACACGUGGGUAACCUGCCCAUUACAGGGGGAUAACAUUCGGAAACGGAUGCUAAUACCGCAUAGUUUCAGGAAUCGCAUGAUUCUUGAAGGAAAGGUGGCUUCGGCUACCACUAAUGGAUGGACCCGCGGCGUAUUAGCUAGUUGGUGAGGUAAUGGCUCACCAAGGCGAUGAUACGUAGCCGACCUGAGAGGGUGAUCGGCCACACUGGGACUGAGACACGGCCCAGACUCCUACGGGAGGCAGCAGUAGGGAAUCUUCCGCAAUGGACGAAAGUCUGACGGAGCAACGCCGCGUGAGUGAAGAAGGUUUUCGGAUCGUAAAACUCUGUUGUUAAAGAAGAACAAGGAUGAGAGUAACUGCUCAUCCCCUGACGGUAUUUAACCAGAAAGCCACGGCUAACUACGUGCCAGCAGCCGCGGUAAUACGUAGGUGGCAAGCGUUGUCCGGAUUUAUUGGGCGUAAAGCGAGCGCAGGCGGUUCUUUAAGUCUGAUGUGAAAGCCCCCGGCUCAACCGGGGAGGGUCAUUGGAAACUGGAGAACUUGAGUGCAGAAGAGGAGAGUGGAAUUCCACGUGUAGCGGUGAAAUGCCUAGAUAUGUGGAGGAACACCAGUGGCGAAGGCGACUCUCUGGUCUGUAACUGACGCUGAGGCUCGAAAGCGUGUGGAGCAAACAGGAUUAGAUACCCUGGUAGUCCACGCCGUAGACGAUGAGUGCUAAGUGUUGGAGGGUUUCCGCGCUUCAGUGCUGCAGCUAACGCAUUAAGCACUCCGCCUGGGGAGUACGGCCGCAAGGCUGAAACUCAAAGGAAUUGACGGGGACCCGCACAAGCGGUGGAUCAUGUGGUUUAAUUCGAAGCAACGCGAAGAACCUUACCACGUCUUGACAUCCUUUGACCACUCUAGAGAUAGAGCUUUCCCUUCGGGGACAAAGUGACAGGUGGUGCAUGGUUGUCUUCAGCUCGUGUCGUGAGAUGUUGGGUUAAGUCCCGCAACGAGCGCACCCUUAAUACUAGGUGCCACCAUUCAGUGGGCACUCAAAGAGACUGCCGGUGACCACCGGAGGAAGGGGGGAUGAAGUCAAUCAUCCUGCCCUUAUGACUGGGCACCCCCUGCUACAUGGAUGGUAAAACGGUCCCAGGUCCGAGGCAACCUGG